UGGGGGAUAUUGCACAAUGGGCGAAAGCCUGAUGCAGCGACGCCGCGUGGGGGAUGAAGGCCUUCGGGUUGUAAACUUCUUUUGCUCUGAACAAGGCGCACCAUGGGGUGUGUUGAGUGUAGGGGUUGAUUAGCGCCGGCUAACUACGUGCCAGCAGCCGCGGUAAUACGUAGGGCGCGAGCGUUGUCCGGAAUUAUUGGGCGUAAAGGGCUUGUAGGUGGCUGGUUGCGUCUGUCGUGAAAGCUCAUGGCUUAACUGUGGGUUUGAGGUGGGUACGGGCUGGCUUGAGUGAAGUAGGGGAGGCUGGAAUUCCUGGUGUAGCGGUGGAAUGCGCAGAUAUCAGGAGGAAUGCCGGUGGCGAAGGCGGGUCUCUGGGCUGUUACUGACACUGAGGAGCGAAAGCAUGGGGAGCGAACAGG
rnacentral:rRNA from 1 species